AAGACCUCCAGAGAGAGGAGCCAGUCCUUCAAACAGGUGGCAGAUUUCAGCAAAGUAGAAUGGAAGGCAUCCAAGCAGAGACGAAGGAAUAGAUCCAGGUCUGACUGACGCUGCUGAUACCUUGGAGUACUGAGAGUCCAGGUGAAGCAGGGUCUUUUCCAACGAGUCAGUUCUUCGCACCAGGUGGCCAAAGGAUUGGAGUUUCAGCUUCAGCAUCAGUCCUGCAGGACUGAUUUCCUUUCGGAUUGACAAAACAUGGCCCACUAGACAAGGGAAUGGCAAACCACUUCAGUAUUCUUGCCUUGAGAACCCCAUGUGAAAGUCGUUCAGGCAUGUCUGACUCUCCGUGACUCCACGGCUAUCCAGCCCAGGGAAUUCUCCAGGCCAGAAUGCUGGGAUCGCAGCGAGGGAGCUCCAAACCUCGACCCAGAAGCAGGUCGUCGUCUGUGAAUGGUUCAGCACCAGGUUCCGCACGAACGUGCGGUGCGGGACCUUCGAGGGGGCAGCCGCCUUUCCCUGCAGCACCUCGUGUCUCGGGAGGAAGAACUUUGAGCACCGGCCUGUUCCCGCGGGCGGCAGGGUGCGCCACGCACGCCAGGCCAUGCCCAGAGGGCAUUCUCCUUUUGAUGGCCCAUUCUUCUUUUGAUGGAAUUUUGUUUUAUUGAUUUUUUUCCCCUAUGUGUUUUAUUUUAAAUGAAACUGCUAUUAGCUUCCUGUAAAAAAAAAAAAAAAAAAUCUCAAUCUGGCUAAGGAAGCACUUCCUGUGUUAAUAAUAACUACUAACAUA
ensembl:lncRNA